CCUACGGGUCGCUGCAGUGGGGAAUAUUGGACAAUGGGCGAAAGCCUGAUCCAGCCAUGCCGCGUGUGUGAAGAAGGCCUUCGGGUUGUAAAGCACUUUCAGUGGGGAAGAAAGCCUUGGGGCUAAUACCCUCGAGGAAGGACAUCACCCACAGAAGAAGCACCGGCUAACUCCGUGCCAGCAGCCGCGGUAAUACGGAGGGUGCGAGCGUUAAUCGGAAUUACUGGGCGUAAAGCGCGCGUAGGCGGUCUGAUAAGCCGGUUGUGAAAGCCCCGGGCUCAACCUGGGAACGGCAUCCGGAACUGUCAGGCUAGAGUGCAGGAGAGGAAGGUAGAAUUCCCGGUGUAGCGGUGAAAUGCGUAGAGAUCGGGAGGAAUACCAGUGGCGAAGGCAGCCCUCUGGGCUGAAACUGACGCUGAGGUGCGAAAGCGUGGGUAACAAACAGGAUUAGAUACCCGGGUAGUC
rnacentral:rRNA from 1 species